GCGGAUUUUUCGUUGCCUGUUGCUUACAACUUGAGUCUGGCGUCCGUUACCGUAUCUACCGGUUACUGAGUACCAGCAACAGGCUUCCAACAGAUACUGUAUACGAUAAUAUAAUACACUCAUUCAGGACACUCUGUACUAAAAUAGUGGCAAGCAAAUUCUUGACCAAGACUGUAUUGUUUUCACUUUUCACUGUGUCUGCGGUCGCAUCACUCCUGAGUGAUUUUAAUUUUUAUUAAUUUGCGUAUGCUGAACUCCUCUGAGAUACGAUGCCAGUUCUUUGUUUUAUUUGUAAUGUUACAUUAUAUGGGGAAAAAACUCGUAUAUCUUCAAGCUUUACACCACACAGUUAUGUAUCAUACCCAGAAAAGAUUGCCGAACUGAUGGGAGAAGAAUUUGUUAUUAUUGUCACGCCUGCGGAUUACAUGUGCAUGGAAUGCACAUCCCUUUUCAUUCAUAUGGACAAGCUGGAAAAUGAUCUAAAACUUUAUAAAAAUGCUAUAUUAACCAUAAUACAAAAGAAAUACGGAAUGUUGCCUGCUGAUCAGCCUGAACAUUCUUUUAGUACUAGUAGAAGUAAUGCUGCAACUAAAUAAGACAAGACCCUACAAAUAUUCAAAUAUACAAAAAACUGUUACAAAAACAGUAACCCUGGAAUAAAUACCUCAGCGAAACAACAUAAAACCAACCAUCAGUUGAACAUCCAAACUCAACAGUAGCAACAAAAAAAAAAUAAACAGAAUGAAUAAAAGACAAUUUUAAUUAUAAUGUAAUAAUAGUAUUAAUAACAAAAUCAACAAAAUAACAGCU